AUGAGCAACGGACACCAACUACUGACAUAAUCAACGCCUUCUCAACUUCUUGACUUGCUUUCCUUUUGAUCAAUCCAAUUACAUAUUCCAUCAAGGCUGCAUCACAAGGCAAGUAUUCCAAUGGAAGCACAAAGCGCUUCUCAUCAGAGCUAUACACCACAAACUGACCCUUCUCGAUCCUUGAUGAUGUGCUGCAACUGUUUGUGUCAACUACCCCACUGGUUCUAGAGAAUGUGAUUCUUCUUCUCUUAAUUGCUGCCAGUUUUUGCCAUUUCCUUGCCAAUUUGAUAAGCUUCUAGCACUGACCAUCUCGUUUCUUUUUUCAAAACAAGGGAGGCUAUUGUAGGACAAGACAAGGAAGAGAAAGUAAAGAUCGAAGGGAACU